UGAUUGGUCGACACAAAGUAGACGAGAACAGGUGGACACGACAACCUAAUGAGCAUACGACCAACAUGGAACACAGGAAAACAUGGAACAAACUAAACACAACCCAAACCAAAACACAGACCAUGACACCAGGCAGGACAUGCCCUACUGCAUGUACAUCCAUACGGGAAGGGCAGGCUUUGCAGAUGAAAUUAGAUGAUCUUUCCAAAUAUUUGUCACAUUUGUACAAAAUAAAAACAAUCACGUUUGUUAGGGUUAGUGGGAUUCAUAAUAAUGUCUCCAUAACACUUCCUUCAUGAGGUGGACUCAGUACCAAAGGCGGCAGCACCAGGCAGGCACUGAGGGCAACGUCAGCAAUUAUGCUAGUGCCAAGAGAGGAAAGAGGAAGUAGCACCCUGUGGCCCACCUGCCUCCAUUCAUCUUGGCGACGCUGAUGUGCUUCAGCAAUAGAAGCGACAACUUGAGAAUGACACAACUACAUUAUUGUAUGGCUCCCACACUUUCUGCCAGUGGGUCAGUGGGUGAGGGAAGAGUGGAUGGGAGUGGAGACAAGAGGCGAAGCUGUGGCCUCACGCCGCCAUCCAGGGGAGAGUGUGGGCAGCACGGGCACAGAGAAUGAGGAAGACAAGGACUUCCAAGGCCAAGUGGGUCAAGCUCUGCAGUAUACGUCGCCAAAAAUGGACAUGAUGACGCUCAACAGUUCGGCCUAUUGAUUUGUUAGCUGCUAUUUCAGCAAUGUUGAACAACAGAUGAGGGAGAGGAAAACUUGAUAUCAUCAGCUCAUAUCACUUGCCCCCGCAGUUUCUCUGAUUGCGCAAUCACCUGGGUAGACUCCAACAUGGUUUACUGUGUAUAGAUUGGACCAUAUUUGCGAACAAGAUUGCAUCUACUGCCUGAUGACUGCAUUCAUUCAUCGACUUCAGGAUAUAAAUAAUUGUAAAAAUGUAAAAACAACAGCAUUUCAUUAAUAUCCCCAUCACAAUGUUUUCUCGUAUUUUCUUCAGCUGCUCAAGUGCCAUUUCCAUCCAGAAGAUGCCAAAAAUCCACCUCCUAACCCAAAUUUGACCAAGGUGUAAAGAAUUUUGGCUACAUUUUUGUGUAUAUAAAUGUGUUUUUUUGGGGGGGGUCUUGGAACUCACUCAUCUAUCAAAU